AACUCUCCGAUUCUGUCUCGCAGAGAAACGUGAAGAAGGCUACAAAGCAGCGUCCACAAAUGACAGAAGUUCUAGCAGCUCCAGUGGAGGGAGCAACCCAGCAGCCAUUUAGCAUCUUCA